UGGGGAAUAUUGCACAAUGGGCGCAAGCCUGAUGCAGCCAUGCCGCGUGUAUGAAGAAGGCCUGCGGGUUGUAAAGUACUUUCAGCGGGGAGGAAGGGAGUAAAGUUAAUACCUUUGCCCAUUGACGUUACCCGCAGAAGAAGCACCGGCUAACUCCGUGCCAGCAGCCGCGGUAAUACGGAGGGUGCAAGCGUUAAUCGGAAUUACUGGGCGUAAAGCGCACGCAGGCGGUUUGUUAAGUCAGAUGUGAAAUCCCCGGGCUCAACCUGGGAGCUGCAUCUGAUACUGGCAAGCGUGAGUCUCGUAGAGGGGGGUAGAAUUACAGGUGUAGCGGUGAAAUGCGUAGAGAUCUGGAGGAAUACCGGUGGCGAAGGCGGCCCCCUGGACGAAGACUGACGCUCAGGUGCGAAAGCGUGGGGGGCAAACAGG
rnacentral:rRNA from 1 species